rnacentral:misc_RNA from 1 species
UUAAGUUCAGCGGGUAGUCCUACCUGAUCUGAGGUCAAAUUGGUCAAGGCCAGGUUCCGAAAAACCCGGGCUUCUCGUUGUAAAGCCCACCGAGACAGAGGGACCAUUCCGGCGCAGAUAAUUAUCACGUCGGGGCCGCUGUACUGCCAAUCGGAAGUAGCUCAUGCAUUUCGGAGGGGCCGGACGGCUGACUAGAGCCA